GUACACGCUGUGACUAGCAUAUCAAUAAGCGGAGGAAAAGAAACUAACAAGGAUUCCCCUAGUAACGGCGAGUGAAGCGGGAAGAGCUCAAAUUUGAAAUCUUAAAGGGUUUCCCUUUACGAAUUGUAGUUUAAAGAAGUGUUUUCUGUUGAGGUUUUGGUAAAAGUUCUUUGGAAUAGGACAUCAUAGAGGGUGAGAAUCCCGUAUUUGACCUUUACUUUCAACUUUGUGAUACACUUUCAAAGAGUCGGAUUGUUUGGGAAUGCAGGUCCAAAAUGGGUGGUAAAUUUCAUCUAAAGCUAAAUAUUGGCGAGAGACCGAUAGCGAACAAGUACCGUGAGGGAAAGAUGAAAAGAACUUUGAAAAGAGAGUUAAACAGUACGUGAAAUUGUCAAAAGGGAAGCGUUUGACACCAGUGUUGUUUUUCUGAAAAUCAAUUAAAGAACUGUUUAUGCUAAGUUGUUUAGACUUUAUCAGCUAACUGUUUAGUUUUGAGCUUUACUUUAAUGCACUUUUCAGUUAACAAGUCAACAUCAAUUUCUUUUGCUGUAAAAAGCUUGAGGAAGGUGGCUUGAGAUUCGUCUUAAGUGUUUAUAGCCUCUUGCCUAUGCAGUCGGAGAGAUUGAGGUCUGCAGCGUAGAUCCUUCGGGGCUAAAUGCAUUUGUGCUAAGUUAUAGCAUUUUAUAGACAUACUUGUUGACUAUGAUUUGUCUUGUAGCUUACUCGCUUAUGUUAUUUUACCUACGCUUAGGAUGUUGACAGCAGUAUAGACUGU
rnacentral:rRNA from 1 species